GCCAGGGAACUACGAGCAAAGCUUAAAACCCAAAGGACUUGACGGUGCCCAUAUCCCACUAGAGGAGCCUGUCCUGUAAUCGAUGAUCCCCGUUAAACCUCACCACUUCUAGCCCAUCAGCCUGUAUAUUUCCGUCGUAAGCUAACCACAUGAGUGAAGCUCAGUUAGUACAAAGAUCUACCCCCCCCCCCCCAUCAACACGUCAGGUCAAAAUGCAGCAAAUGAAGCGGGAAGAGAUUGGCUACACUUUUUAUUAUAAAAGAAGACGAAAGACAAUAAUGAAACUUUGUCAGAAGGCGGAUUUAGUAGUAAAAAGAAUUCAUAAUAUUCAUUUGAACCUGGCACUGGAGCGUGU
rnacentral:rRNA from 1 species